AUGAAGCGUGCAACUGCGCUCGGGUUGAGUAUAGGACUUUCCAACUUAUCCAACCUACAGCCGCCGCGAGAUCCAGUCGCCUCCGCUCGUGCUUCGUCUCCGACCACGGCGACUUCGUCCUCCGUCUCCCUCCUCUUCGGAUUUGGAAAGAUGCCGACAUCUAUGAGAUGCGGUGAUGAUCUCACAAGGAGUACAAAUGAGGAGCUAAUAACCAGCAAGGCUGACUCGAAGCCGAGCUCAAAUGAGAACCUAAGAACUUGCAAUAGUGUUGGAAAGUUGAUUGAGUCAUUGCCUCCAGGUUCAGGUGCUACUGAUACUGCCGGACUUGGCAGCUCUAGUGGUUCUGCUCGAGAUGUCUCCGACUGUUCCGGUGGAGCUCCAUCCAAAACGACCCGUGGUGUCGUCUGGAUUUACUUGUUUGAUGGAGACACCAUUGUGUUUUUAUGCUCCGGCCUUCCUAUAGAACACAAUCCGUCUUGCACAAAAGUGUUGACCUCAACAAAUUUGGCUGCAGCUAUGAGGGACAAAACAAAAUCCAGCUCUGCCAUGAAGAUUCAAGUGCGCGAUGCAUUUAGUAAUGUUGCCCCUGGGUGCUUGGAGGAAUGUGAGUUAGAUGACGGGACUGUUAGGGCUGCUGUUGUCAAAGUGACAGGGUUCCUUGAUGUUUGUGAAGUACAUCUCCACCAUGGGUUGGAAAUUCCGCCCCUCAUUGUCGUAGUAGCCAUACACUUUAAUGACUCUGGUGGAGCGACGGCUGUAAAAGAGAUCCUGAGUAAAAAAGUUUCAACGCCUUCCGAGACUGUGCUUUGCAACGCUGGUGAUGGCAAGCCACUCUUCGACGGUGAUGGGAACUUUGUUGGCAUGGCUAUUUUUUCCGAUGGCAGGCAUGUUUAUGUGCAAGGAAGUGUAAUUUUUGAAAAUUUGGUGGAAUUUGCGAGAAGGAUUAGGGUACGCGUGCGACAGCAGGAACGAUAUAGACGAUCUAUGAGCGAAAAAGGCAAGUGCCGGUGCCGACAUGAUGUCUAUGAUGAUCCAGUAAAGAGAAAGAGAACCUUCUUGUGA
rnacentral:rRNA from 1 species